rnacentral:rRNA from 1 species
UACAGAGGGGGCGAGCGUUAUUCGGAAUUAUUGGGCGUAAAGGGCGCGUAGGCGGCUUUGCAAGUGACGGGUGAAAGCCCUCGGCUUAACCGAGGAACUGCCUGUCAGACUGUGAGGCUUGAGACCGGGAGAGGUGAGUGGAAUUCCCAGUGUAGCGGUGAAAUGCGUAGAUAUUGGGAGGAACACCAGUGGCGAAGGCGGCUCACUGGACCGGAACUGACGCUGAGGCGCGAAAGCGUGGGGAGCGAACAGG